rnacentral:rRNA from 1 species
UACGGAGGGUGCAAGCGUUAUCCGGAUUCACUGGGUUUAAAGGGUGCGUAGGUGGGUCUGUAAGUCAGUGGUGAAAUCUCCGAGCUUAACUCGGAAACUGCCAUUGAUACUAUAGGUCUUGAAUUAUCUGGAGGUAAGCGGAAUAUGUCAUGUAGCGGUGAAAUGCUUAGAUAUGACAUAGAACACCAAUUGCGAAGGCAGCUUACUACGGAUAUAUUGACACUGAGGCACGAAAGCGUGGGGGAUCAAACAGG